GCCCGAUGGGGUAGCCUGGUUAGCCUGGGGACACAGCCAGAAGCCUGUGGCCGCCCGGCGGAAAGCCCUCGAGGCGGGUUCAAAUCCCGCUCCCGGCC
rnacentral:tRNA from 1 species